GUCCAGACUCCUACGGGAGGCAGCAGUGAGGAAUAUUGGUCAAUGGGCGGAAGCCUGAACCAGCCAAGUCGCGUGAGGGAUUAAGGCCCUAUGGGUCGUAAACCUCUUUUGUCAGGGAGCAAUGGCGUCCACGUGUGGGCGUAUGGAGAGUACCUGAAGAAAAAGCAUCGGCUAACUCCGUGCCAGCAGCCGCGGUAAUACGGAGGAUGCGAGCGUUAUCCGGAUUUAUUGGGUUUAAAGGGUGCGUAGGCGGAAUAUCAAGUCAGCGGUAAAAAUUCGGGGCUCAACCCCGUCGUGCCGUUGAAACUGGCGUUCUUGAGUGGGCGAGAAGUAUGCGGAAUGCGUGGUGUAGCGGUGAAAUGCAUAGAUAUCACGCAGAACUCCGAUUGCGAAGGCAGCAUACCGGCGCCCAACUGACGCUGAAGCACGAAAGCGUGGGUAUCGAACAGGAUUAGAUACCCCGUA
rnacentral:rRNA from 1 species